rnacentral:rRNA from 1 species
UACGAAGGGGGCUAGCGUUGCUCGGAAUCACUGGGGGUAAAGGGUGCGUAGGCGGGUCUUUAAGUCAGGGGUGAAAUCCUGGAGCUCAACUCCAGAACUGCCUUUGAUACUGAAGAUCUUGAGUUCGGGAGAGGUGAGUGGAACUGCGAGUGUAGAGGUGAAAUUCGUAGAUAUCCGCAAGAACACCAGUGGCGAAGGCGGCUCACUGGCCCGAUACUGACGCUGAGGCACGAAAGCGUGGGGAGCAAACAGG